rnacentral:rRNA from 1 species
CUUUACUGUAGCCUGGAAUUGGGUUCGGGCUUUGCAUGCGCAGGAUAGGUGGGAGGCUAAGAGACAGUUCUUGUGGGAAUUGUGGAGCCAACGGUGAGAUACCACUCUUGUGAAGCUAGAAUUCUAACCGUUUGCCGUUAUCCGGCAGCGGGACCGUUUCAGGUGGGCAGUUUGACUGGGGCGGUCGCCUCCUAAAAGGUAACGGAGGCGCGCAAAGGUUCUCUCAGGCUGGUUGGAAAUCAGCCGUAGAGUGUAAAGGCAUAAGAGAGCUUGACUGUGAGACCUACAAGUCGAACAGGGACGAAAGUCGGCCUUAGUGAUCCGACGGCACUGAGUGGAAGGGCCGUCGCUAAACGGAUAAAAGUUA